UACAGAGGGUGCAAGCGUUGUUCGGAAUUAUUGGGCGUAAAGCGCGUGUAGGCGGCUUGGUAAGUCAGGGGUGAAAUCCCACGGCCCAACCGUGGAAGUGCCUCUGAUACUGCCGGCCUCGAGGGGGAUAGGGGCGUGCGGAACUCAGGGUGGAGCGGUGAAAUGCGUAGAUAUCCUGAGGAACACCGGUGGCGAAAGCGGCGCGCUGGAUCCCUUCUGACGCUGAGGCGCGAAAGCCAGGGGAGCAAACGGG
rnacentral:rRNA from 1 species